UUCAUAUCUCUGGCAGACUCCUUCAGGGACAAUCACAUUCACACAUUCAAUGAAGACUUGAGACAAGGAUCCUACCGCACAUCCUAGGCUUCCCUUGCCACCUCUUCAGACUGGAUCUGCAAAACGAGGACUGAGCAGAUCACCUCCACAUUUCUUCCACGCUACAAUUCUAUGAAUUGGAAAUAAGGAGACUUCAGUAGGAUCCAUACCAUAGAGUUGUGAGGGGUGAA
rnacentral:lncRNA from 1 species